rnacentral:tRNA from 1 species
UCUUGGUGGCUUAGUUGAUAAAGAAUCUGCCUGCAAUGCAGGAGACCUAGGUUUGAUCCCUGGAUUGGGAA